rnacentral:lncRNA from 1 species
AUUGCCACUUCGUUUUAGUAGGAAGCUCUGGAGAAAGGGGAAAGACACAUGUGGGAAAAAAGCCAACUAAGACCAGCUGCCCCUAGCCUGUCCCAGCCCCUGGAUCACUCACCUGUUUGAUGGGGAUGGCUCGCCCACUCCCUGUUGUCUCUCCCCGACUAUCCAAGCUUCGUUUCUCGGAGUCACUACCCCGACGAUUCUGGAAUGGUUAUUGGAAUCAGUUUGAGGAUGGAUAGAGGGAUACACUGAUGUGACGAUAGGGAAGAUAGAUGAAGAAGGGCCCAACAGAGGAGUCUAGGGACUAGGGAAGAUGGGCAGGUCAUGGGGGACAGGAGGAUGGGGGUCAGCAUGUCCAUGUCCAAUACCGCAAAAAGGCUGGUCCUGCGCUUGGCUGCCCGGUGCAGGGACCCUGGGGUGCUCAAUCCAGCCACUGCAGCUGCCUCGGCUCGGAGCUCCCGGUGACCAACAUUCGGUGAGGACGGGAGGGAAGAAGAGUAGUCGCUAGUGUGGCCCCCGUUACUAGCCUGGGCACAUAUGGAAGAGUCAGCAGAGCUGAGAUGCCCCCUACUCCACCAAGCUACACUCAUAUCUCGUUAUGGGGAAUUUGAGACAUUCCUUGAUCACCUCACCAUUUAUUUAUGUUGUCAUUAAUAAUUUUUAAAAUCC